AACGAACGCUGGCGGCAUGCCUAACACAUGCAAGUCGAACGGAUGGCUUCGGCCAUUAGUGGCGCACGGGUGAGUAACGCGUGGGAACCUGCCCAUCGAUGGGGGAUAACCUCGGGAAACUGAGGCUAAUACCGCAUACGCCCUGCAAGGGGGAAAGACUUGUCGUCGAUGGAGGGGCCCGCGUCGGAUUAGGUAGUUGGUGGGGUAACGGCCUACCAAGCCUGUGAUCCGUAGCUGGUCUGAGAGGAUGAUCAGCCACACUGGGACUGAGACACGGCCCAGACUCCUACGGGAGGCAG
rnacentral:rRNA from 1 species